GUGCUCACUUCGGCAGCACAUAUACUAAAAGUGGAACGACACAGAGAAGAUCAGCUUGGCCCCUGCUCAAGGAUGACACAAAAUUCAUGAAGCGUUCCAUAUUUUA
ensembl:snRNA U6 U6 spliceosomal RNA